rnacentral:lncRNA from 1 species
GCCGUUUCCAUUUCAAAGAAUUCCUGACGAUGCAAAGAGAUGUGCAUCAAACAUGGACGCUCAAAAUUCGAUCCAAAGCCAACAACUUCCAUUUCCAUUUCCAUUUCAAUCACAAUUCAUCACAAACUAUUCGCAAGUUUUUCGAAUUUUCAAUCGAGCUUAAGCUCCGCCCAUUUCUUUUCAAAUUAAAAUCCGAACCCAGAUCGUCAUUUUCCUGGAAAAGAAGAUCUUUCAAGACUAGAUCACUUCAAUUUUUGCAGAAUCUUGGCAUUCCGAUUACAAAAAACAAAGGCAUUGUAGCCAGAAGGAGAUCUCGUAUCACGACCCUAAAAUGGUGUGCUCGUAAGGUAUGUUCUACCCUGGUUUCAAGUAUU